rnacentral:misc_RNA from 1 species
AAAAAAAAAAAAAAAAAAAAAAAAAAAAAAAAAAAAAAAAAAAAAAAAAAAAAAAAAAAAAAAAAAAAAAAAAAAAAAAAAAAAAAAAAAAAAAAAAAAAAAAAAAAAAAAAAAAAAAAAAAAAAAAAAAAAAAAAAAAAAAAAAAAAAAAAAAAAAAAAAAAAAAAAAAAAAAAAAAAAAAAAAAAAAAAAAAAAAAAAAAAAAAAAAAAAAAAAAAAAAAAAAAAAAAAAAAAAAAAAAAAAAAAAAAAAAAAAAAAAAAAAAAAAAAAAAAAAAAAAAAAAAAAAAAAAAAAAAAAAAAAAAAAAAAAAAAAAAAAAAAAAAAAAAAAAAAAAAAAAAAAAAAAAAAAAAAAAAAAAAAAAAAAAAAAAAAAAAAAAAAAAAAAAAAAAAAAAAAAAAAAAAAAAAAAA